rnacentral:rRNA from 1 species
GACGAACGCUGGCGGCGUGCUUAACACAUGCAAGUCGAACGGUAAGGCUCCAGCUUGCUGGGGUACACGAGUGGCGAACGGGUGAGUAACACGUGGGUGACCUGCCCUGCACUUCGGGAUAAGCCUGGGAAACUGGGUCUAAUACCGGAUAGGACCGCACCGUGAGGGUGUGGUGGAAAGUUUUUUCGGUGUGGGAUGGGCCCGCGGCCUAUCAGCUUGUUGGUGGGGUAAUGGCCUACCAAGGCGGCGACGGGUAGCCGGCCUGAGAGGGUGGACGGCCACAUUGGGACUGAGACACGGCCCAGACUCCUACGGGAGGCAGCAGUGGGGAAUAUUGCACAAUGGGCGGAAGCCUGAUGCAGCGACGCCGCGUGGGGGAUGACGGCCUUCGGGUUGUAAACUCCUUUCACCAUCGACGAAGGGUUUCUGACGGUAGAUGGAGAAGAAGCACCGGCUAACUACGUGCCAGCAGCCGCGGUAACACGUAGGGUGCGAGCGUUGUCCGGAAUUACUGGGCGUAAAGAGCUCGUAGGUGGUUUGUCGCGUCGUCUGUGAAAUUCCGGGGCCUAACUCCGGGCGUGCAGGCGAUACGGGCAUAACUUGAGUACUGUAGGGGAGACUGGAAUUCCUGGUGUAGCGGUGAAAUGCGCAGAUAUCAGGAGGAACACCGGUGGCGAAGGCGGGUCUCUGGGCAGUAACUGACGCUGAGGAGCGAAAGCAUGGGGAGCGAACAGGAUUAGAUACCCUGGUAGUCCAUGCCGUAAACGGUGGGCGCUAGGUGUGGGUUUCCUUCCACGGGAUCCGUGCCGUAGCUAACGCAUUAAGCGCCCCGCCUGGGGAGUACGGCCGCAAGGCUAAAACUCAAAGGAAUUGACGGGGGCCCGCACAAGCGGCGGAGCAUGUGGAUUAAUUCGACGCAACGCGAAGAACCUUACCUGGGCUUGACAUAUACAGGAUCGCGCCAGAGAUGGUGUUUCCCUUGUGGCUUGUAUACAGGUGGUGCAUGGUUGUCGUCAGCUCGUGUCGUGAGAUGUUGGGUUAAGUCCCGCAACGAGCGCAGCCCUUGUCUUAUGUUGCCAGCACGUUGUGGUGGGGACUCGUAAGAAACUGCCGGGGUUAACUCGGAGGAAGGUGGGGAUGACGUCAAAUCAUCAUGCCCCUUAUGUCCAGGGCUUCACACAUGCUACAAUGGUCGGUACAGUGGGUUGCCAGUCCGUGAGGGCGAGCUAAUCCCGCAAAGCCGGUCUCAGUUCGGAUCGGGGUCUGCAACUCGACCCCGUGAAGUCGGAGUCGCUAGUAAUCGCAGAUCAGCAACGCUGCGGUGAAUACGUUCCCGGGCCU